rnacentral:rRNA from 1 species
UACGGAGGGGGCUAGCGUUGUUCGGAAUUACUGGGCGUAAAGCGUACGUAGGCGGCUUUGUAAGUUAGAGGUGAAAGCCCGGGGCUCAACCCCGGAAUUGCCUUUAAGACUGCAUCGCUAGAAUCGUGGAGAGGUGAGUGGAAUUCCGAGUGUAGAGGUGAAAUUCGUAGAUAUUCGGAAGAACACCAGUGGCGAAGGCGACUCACUGGACUGGUAUUGACGCUGAGGUGCGAAAAGCGUGGGUAGCAAACAGG